AAGACAAGCACUGAACACAAAGCAAACUAUUCUUUCGCCUUUUACUAAAGAAUACCGUGUGUUCUUUGCAAUACGUGGCACUAUGAGUAUAGUUACUAGCAUCUUGUUCAAUGAAGAG